rnacentral:rRNA from 1 species
GUGGGGAAUUUUGGACAAUGGGCGAAAGCCUGAUCCAGCAAUGCCGCGUGUGUGAAGAAGGCCUUCGGGUUGUAAAGCACUUUUGGCAGGGAAGAAACAGUGCGUGCUAAUACCAUGCGCGAAUGACGGUACCUGCAGAAUAAGCACCGGCUAACUACGUGCCAGCAGCCGCGGUAAUACGUAGGGUGCAAGCGUUAAUCGGAAUUACUGGGCGUAAAGCGUGCGCAGGCGGCUUUGUAAGACGGAUGUGAAAGCCCCGGGCUCAACCUGGGAAGUGCAUUCGUGACUGCAAGGCUAGAGUGCGGCAGAGGGGGAUGGAAUUCCGCGUGUAGCAGUGAAAUGCGUAGAUAUGCGGAGGAACACCGAUGGCGAAGGCAAUCCCCUGGGCCUGCACUGACGCUCAUGCACGAAAGCGUGGGGAGCAAACAGGAUUAGAAACCCGGGUAGUCC